UACGGAGGAUCCGAGCGUUAUCCGGAUUUAUUGGGUUUAAAGGGUGCGUAGGCGGCCUAUUAAGUCAGGGGUGAAAAGACGGGUAGCUUAACUAUCGCAGUGCCUUUGAUACUGAUAGGCUUGAAUGUACUUGAGGUAGGCGGAAUGUGACAAGUAGCGGUGAAAUGCAUAGAUAUGUCACAGAACCACCAAUUGCGAAGGCAGCUUACUAAAGUACUGAUUGACGCUGAGGCACGAAAGCGUGGGGAUCAAACAGG
rnacentral:rRNA from 1 species